rnacentral:misc_RNA from 1 species
CACCGGCGGUCUCAGUUUCAGACUCAUAGUCUCCGCUUCCAACAUCAUCAUUAUCAUCAUCAUCAAAAUCAGAGAGUCCGCCACUGAGGCCUUUGAAGGCCUCUUCACUGAGAAUAGAAUUGGAAGUAGCAAUAGCAGAAGGAACAAAAGAAAGCCCAUGUUUAUGGUGGGCACUACUCUGAAGAACCAAAGGGGGUCUCCCUCCUCCACCUCCACCUCCGCCACUGGCCACCAAAGAACUGAAGUGAGACUUCUCACACGAGUGCAGGGAAAAAGAAGAAGAGGAUAAAGUGGGAUUUGCUGAGUGGAGCCUCCUAGAUGAAAGUUCUAUAGAAGGAGUAUGGAGGAUAGAGGAAACUCCAAUCACCGAAGAAGCCAUUAGUGUAGGUAAAGUGAGUUUGGGAAGGAAGAUGGGAGUGGGAAUGGAGAGGAAAUGAGAAAGAGAGACUUAAGAGAGGAUAAUGGCAGAGUGUGAGGGAAAAGUGCCGCCUUGAAAAUGUAAGACUCACACAGCUCCACCUCGGUUACUAUCCUGUUUCCC